UAUGAACGCUGGCGGCGUGCUUAACACAUGCAAGUCGAACGAGAAAUGGAGACGGAAACCUUCGGGCGGAAGGCUUCAUUUCGAGUGGCGGACGGGUGAGUAACGCGUGGGUAACCUGCCUCAUACAGGGGGAUAACAGUUGGACACGACUGUUAAUACCGCAUAAGACCACAGCACCGCAUGGUGCGGGGGUAAAAACUCCGGUGGUAUGAGAUGGACCCGCGUUCGAUUAGCCAGUUGGCGGGGUAACGGCCCACCAAAGCGACGAUCGAUAGCCGAUCUGAGAGGAUGACCGGCCACAGUGGGACUGAGACACGGCCCAAACUCCUACGGGAGGCAGCAGUGGGGAAUAUUGCACAAUGGGGGAAACCCUGAUGCAGCGACGCCGCGUGAGUGAAGAAGUACUUCGGUAUGUAAAGCUCUAUAAGCAGGGAAGAAAAUGACGGUACCUGAGUAAGAAGCCCCGGCUAACUACGUG
rnacentral:rRNA from 1 species